UGGGGAAUAUUGCACAAUGGGCGGAAGCCUGAUGCAGCGACGCCGCGUGGGGGAUGACGGCCUCCGGGUUGUAAAGCUCUUUCACCGGUGAAGAUAAUGACGGUAACCGGAGAAGAAGCCCCGGCUAACUUCGUGCCAGCAGCCGCGGUAAUACGAAGGGGGCUAGCGUUGUUCGGAUUUACUGUGCGUAAAGCGCACGUAGGCGGACUAUUAAGUCAGGGGUGAAAUCCCGGGGCUCAACCCCGGAACUGCCUUUGAUACUGGUAGUCUUGAGUUCGAGAGAGGUGAGUGGAAUUCCGGGUGUAGAGGGGAAAUUCGUAGAUAUUCGGAGAAACACCAGUGGCGAAGGCGGCUCACUGGCUCGAUACUGACGCUGAGGUGCGAAAGCGUGGGGAGCAAACAGG
rnacentral:rRNA from 1 species